rnacentral:rRNA from 1 species
UACGGGGGGGGCAAGCGUUGUUCGGAAUUACUGGGCGUAAAGAGCUCGUAGGUGGUUUGUCGCGUUGUUCGUGAAAACUCACAGCUUAACUGUGGGCGUGCGGGCGAUACGGGCAGACUGGAGUACUGCAGGGGAGACUGGAAUUCCUGGUGUAGCGGUGGAAUGCGCAGAUAUCAGGAGGAACACCGGUGGCGAAGGCGGGUCUCUGGGCAGUAACUGACGCUGAGGAGCGAAAGCAUGGGGAGCGAACAGG